rnacentral:tRNA from 1 species
UGGCUCAGUGGUUAAGAGCAUUUGUUCUUCUUGCAAAGGAUCUGGGUUCUAUUCCCAG